ensembl:miRNA
UGCUCUAGCAGCGAAAACAGUUCUGCAGUUAGCUAUCAAUACUCUGGAGUAUUGUUUCCGCUGCCAGAGUA